ACCAUUUACUAGCUUAUGAUAUUAAACAAGUGAUUUAACCAUUCUAAGGCUGGGAAUUCCCCUCUGUAAACUGGGGAUAAUAGCAGCACCUACCUUAUUGGAUUGAUGUGAGGAUUAAAUAAGGUACUGCCUGUAAAGAGUUUAGUACAGUGUCCAGUUCACAUAUGCUGCUGUAAUCACCUGGGCCAAUUCCAUCAACAGGUGUGGUCAUUGUCCCUGAGCUGAUGAUGGUACAAAUGAGCAGACCAUCCUCGCCCUUCUGGAGACGCCACUGCGCACCUCCGGCCACCAACCUUCUGCCUGAGAAGCGUCGCUGACUGUCAGGCGUGCAAGCAGCGGUACCGAAGGUGCCCAGGUCCUUGGUGAUUCCCAGCAAACACUGCAACAACGCUGGCC